rnacentral:rRNA from 1 species
CGAGUGAAGCGGCAAAAGCUCAAAUUUGAAAUCUGGCGUCUUCGACGUCCGAGUUGUAAUUUGAAGAAGGCAACUUUGUAGCUGGUCCUUGUCUAUGUUCCUUGGAACAGGACGUCAUAGAGGGUGAGAAUCCCGUGUGGCGAGGAUCCCAGUUAUUUGUAAAGUGCUUUCGACGAGUCGAGUUGUUUGGGAAUGCAGCUCUAAGUGGGUGGUAAAUUCCAUCUAAAGCUAAAUAUUGGCGAGAGACCGAUAGCGAACAAGUACAGUGAUGGAAAGAUGAAAAGAACUUUGAAAAGAGAGUGAAAAAGUACGUGAAAUUGUUGAAAGGGAAGGGCAUUUGAUCAGACAUGGCGUUUGCUUCGGCUUUCGCUGGGCCAGCAUCAGUUUUAGCGGUUGGAUAAAUCCUCGGGAAUGUGGCUCUGCUUCGGUAGAGUGUUAUAGCCCGUGGGAAUACAGCCAGCUGGGACUGAGGAUUGCGACUUUUGUCAAGGAUGCUGGCGUAA